CGGCGGACUUAAGCAUAUCAAUAAGCGGAGGAAAAGAAACCAACAGGGAUUGCCCCAGUAACGGCGAGUGAAGCGGCAACAGCUCAAAUUUGAAAUCUGGCCCCUAGGGCCCGAGUUGUAAUUUGCAGAGGAUGCUUUUGGCGAGGUGCCUUCCGAGUUCCCUGGAACGGGACGCCAUAGAGGGUGAGAGCCCCGUCUGGUUGGACGCCGAGCCUCUGUAAAGCUCCUUCGACGAGUCGAGUAGUUUGGGAAUGCUGCUCUAAAUGGGAGGUAUAUGUCUUCUAAAGCUAAAUAUUGGCCAGAGACCGAUAGCGCACAAGUAGAGUGAUCGAAAGAUGAAAAGCACUUUGAAAAGAGAGUUAAAUAGUACGUGAAAUUGUUGAAAGGGAAGCGCUUAUGACCAGACUUGGGCCCGGUGAAUCAUCCAGCGUUCUCGCUGGUGCACUUUGCCGGUGCCCAGGCCAGCAUCAGUUUGCCCCGGGGGAUAAAGGCUUUGGGAAUGUGGCUCCCUAGGGAGUGUUAUAGCCCAUUGCAUAAUACCCUGUGGCGGACUGAGGUUCGCGCAUCUUGCAAGGAUGCUGGCGUAAUGGUCAUCAGCGACCCGUCUUGAAACACGGACCAAGGAGUCGUCUUCGUAUGCGAGUGUUCGGGUGUCAAACCCCUACGCGUAAUGAAAGUGAACGCAGGUGAGAGCUUCGGCGCAUCAUCGACCGAUCCUGAUGUUCUCGGAUGGAUUUGAGUAAGAGCAUACGGGGCCGGACCCGAAAGAAGGUGAACUAUGCCUGUAUAGGGUGAAGCCAGAGGAAACUCUGGUGGAGGCUCGCAGCGGUUCUGACGUGCAAAUCGAUCGUCAAAUAUGGGCAUGGGGGCGAAAGACUAAUCGAA
rnacentral:rRNA from 1 species